CAAUGCUUCGCCUUCGCCAUCUCAGCCGGUCUUCAGAUCGCUUCUAGAUCGCUUAAGCUCAAUUAAUUUUAACUUCUUUAAUUACUAGCCGUUAAAACUGUCAUCUUCUCUGCUCAUUUAGAAGUAUUCCAUCAAUUGGAGACGAAGAUUUAACCCCAGGGUCAACGAAAAUCAAGAAGAAGCCAUGGGAAUUGCGGAGAAACCGAAGUCCUGAGUGGAUCUUUACAGAGAAGGAACUGUUGGAAGAUGGCUUGAAACAUGCGGUCAUGCUGUCAACGUGGCGAUGUUGCUCUCGAGCCAUCCCACAACCGAAGUCCAAUGAGCAGUCGAACUAGGUGGAAAUCUAUGAAAAGAGUGCUGAAGUAUUAGCUCCUGAAGUGAAAAAGCUGCUUAAUUUCAUGUAUUUUCAGUCCGGAUUUCAGCAGCUUCUGUGGCCACGAUCAUCAGUUGAUUGUCAACGUUGAUGGUGGCCAGGAGGGUAGUUACUACAGGGCAUACUGAUCAUGAAAAACUGCCACCCAGUUCUUGAAAGUUAUGGCAGAUUCACACACCCUGCAGGAGUUGCAGAACAAGAAUUCCUUUCUACACAGAACAAAAUUCAAGACACGGUGGAAGAGAAUUUGGAAAAAAUAAUCGGUUACAAAGAGCUUCUGUUCGAUGUUGUCAAUCUGUGUGUGCACAUGUUCGAAACAAAAAUGUACCUGACACCCACCAAAAAGCACAUGCUGGUUAAAGUUUCACAAUGAUUUGAAAUUUGCAAGAUGUAAAACUAUCAUAGGUGAAGAUUCUUAUGGUGCAAACCAGGUAUGGAAAGCAAUGUAACACCAGGGGAUUGUCACAUUAACCGUCCAAAUGGUAACAGUCGAACUGAGUGUAUGACCAGGGGCUUGAUUCUGUGUUGCUCCCAGGCAAUGUCAUAGGCAUGAAGUAUGCACCCAUUGCGCAGCUAUACAUCUUCUCUUUUGAUGUGAUGGUGAGAAAUCGUCAGUCUAGAAUGUAAUUAAAAUGCUGCCUUCAAUUUUGUUGAUUAGAGGUUGUACUGGUUGUAAUCUAUGUCCUGGAGCGCCAUCUAAAAUCAUUCUCAAGAUGGCCGCAGUCAUUGCUUUUGUUUUGUCAGCAGACUGGCUGAAAGCAUCUGGCGACACACAUGGAAAACUGGAAGCACCCCUACGCCUGUUAUCAUGUAUCUUCUUGCUGUGUUGGGUCAUCCCUCAGCCCUUGUCUAAGUAAAAACCCAGGUGCCUGAUGGAUGCCUCAAUGCACACAGGCCCUUGGAAUGUAUCGUCCCUGUGGUAGUAAAUUAUGUGAUGAUCCAUGAUACCUCCAUCUUGGCCAUUCUGAGGAACGAUAUCUAUGCAUCACUAUCUAUCUAAUGAGCCUUUAUACCUCCAUGUUGCACAUUUUGAUGAAGUGUCAUCAUUUUCUGUUCCUGUUGACUCGUUUUAAAUUGUGUCUCUGCCUUGUAAGAAGAUGUACAACAUAUCAGAAUCUGCACUUUUUGGGAGGAUUCAAUGAAGGGGUUUCACUCUUCAUAUAAAACGGAAGAUUUGUCUUGGACUCAGCAAUGUUUUUGUGCCCCUGCUGACACAGUGAUACUUUGGACCUAAAAGAGGACCAGCACAUCAUGCUGUGUGGGUCAAUGCAUUUUUAAUGCCUCAUACUUGCUCUUGAGAAGUAUAUUGAUGUGACAUUCCAAUGCUUGGGAGGAGGACAAGCUGGGGCCGUGGGCAUGUAGGACCACCCACCGAAAUAAUUGCUCCACAACCUGCACAGCAACCUCCACUGCAGCCUCUACCACAACCUCCACUGCAACCAGCACCUCCAGCACCUGCAUCAAUUCCUCCACAGGAGCCAUGAUAUCUGGGAGAAAUAAGAAUCAGUUCCGAAGAGGAGCCGCCAUCCGCAGACACAUCGAGAACUGAUGCAGUAGAUUAUACGGGAUGCAGCUCUUGCGACAAGCCUGAUAACUAGAUGUUUGAAGCAGGCAGCCUAGAACACAGGUCUCGAAAGAAAAAGCCAACUUCUUUUGUUCCUCAAUGAUUACUUUUAGACUGAAUUGACGCUGCGUAAAACUGUUUUACUUCUCUCUUACUGCCCUUUUUAAACAAUAUGUAAAUUUUUUUUUAAAUUUAAUGGUCAUUUUGUUUACUUGCUAAUUUUUAUAUUCAGUUAUUAGUGUUUGAAUGCGUCAGUGAGUUGCUAGUGUAACACUGAUUUUUGUUCCUAUUUUCGGAAACUUGAAUAAAUUUCAUGCGCUCAUGUAAACAAGCUUGUUCUUAGACUAACAGUGCAAAUAUGGCAAAUUUCACCUGAGCCUUUCUUUAGCAUGUUCAACCCUUAUUUUGUACUUGUAUCCCCUUGAAAUAUCAUUACGUUAGCAAGUCAACAGGGAAUUACUGAUUUUUUGUUUUGUUUUCAAGAACUUAAAUCAAUUUUCUUUUUUCUACUACCUUAUGUCUAUUUAUCAACAUCUCUUUUUCCAUACACCAUUUUUUCUCAUGACUAAUAUUAGUGAGUGAAAUAUUUUUUCAUGUGUGUUUUAAAUUUCUUCCAGUCAUUUAUUGACUAAUAAUAGUCGCAUUUUGUUCCUGAA